UACAGAGGGGGCAAGCGUUAUUCGGAAUUAUUGGGCGUAAAGGGCGCGUAGGCGAUUUGAAAAGUCUUGUGUGAAAGCCCCGGGCUUAACCCGGGAAGUGCACAAGAAACUGUUGAAUUUGAGUUCCGGAGAGGAAGGCAGAAUUCCCGGUGUAGCGGUGAAAUGCGUAGAUAUCGGGAGGAAUACCAGUGGCGAAGGCGGCCUUCUGGACGGAUACUGACGCUGAGGCGCGAAAGCCAGGGGAGCAAACGGG
rnacentral:rRNA from 1 species